GAGACCCUGCUUUCUCCGAACGGCUAAGUUCCACUUAGCUCAUUGACGUAGGAGAAGUGGGGUUCA
rnacentral:sRNA from 1 species